rnacentral:rRNA from 1 species
UACGUAGGGUGCGAGCGUUAAUCGGAAUUACUGGGCGUAAAGCGUGCGCAGGCGGUGAUGUAAGACCAGGUGUGAAAUCCCCGGGCUUAACCUGGGAACUGCAUUUGUGACUGCAUCGCUGGAGUGCGGCAGAGGGGGAUGGAAUUCCGCGUGUAGCAGUGAAAUGCGUAGAUAUGCGGAGGAACACCGAUGGCGAAGGCAAUCCCCUGGGCCUGCACUGACGCUCAUGCACGAAAGCGUGGGGAGCAAACAGG